AUCAUCUGAGGUCGGAACAGGCAACCGACACACCCAAGCGGUCUUUAAAGAGAUGCAGGAGUGCCAACCUGCCUAUGAU
rnacentral:ncRNA from 12 species